CCCUUAGAUGUUCUGGGCCGCACGCGCGCUACACUGACGAAGUCAGCGAGCAUGUCCUACGCCGACAGGUGCGGGGAAUCUUGUCAAACUUCGUCGUGAUGGGGAUUGAUUAUUGAAAUUCUUGAUCAUCAACGAGGAAUUCCUAGUAAGCGCAAGUCAGCAGCUUGCGUUGAUUACGUCCCUGCCCUUUGUACACACCGCCCGUCGCUACUACCGAUUGAAUGGUUUAGUGAGAUCUUCGGAUUGGCGCCACUGCGGCUCAGCAAUGGGCUCGGUGGAUGCUGAAAAGUUGAUCAAACUUGAUCAUUUAGAGGAAGUAAAAGUCGUAACA
rnacentral:rRNA from 1 species